rnacentral:rRNA from 1 species
UGGGGAAUCUUGCGCAAUGGGGGCAACCCUGACGCAGCAACGCCGCGUGAGUGAUGAAGGCCUUCGGGUCGUAAAACUCUGUCCCAUGGGAAGAAAAGAAUGACGGUACCAUGGGAGGAAGCCCCGGCUAACUACGUG